AAUAUAAAAAAUAAUAUUAAAAAAAAGAAAAAGCUGAGGAGAGGAGAGAUUAAAGAAAAUGAAAAAGCAAGUACAUAAGAGAUGCGAGAUUAGAUAAGAAAUAUGCGAUAAAAUGUAAUUGGAAGAGAAAAUAAUAACAUAAAAAUGAGAAGAUAAAAAAUAAAAAACAUAAGAGAUGAGUGAUUAGAAGAUGAAACAUAAAAAAC
rnacentral:lncRNA from 1 species